GGUCAGCGACUUAUAUUCUGUAGCAAGGUUAACCGUAUAGGGGAGCCGUAGGGAAACCGAGUCUUAACCGGGCGUUAAGUUGCAGGGUAUAGACCCGAAACCCGGUGAUCUAGCCAUGGGCAGGUUGAAGGUUGGGUAACACUAACUGGAGGACCGAACCGACUAAUGUUGAAAAAUUAGCGGAUGACCUGUGGCUGGGGGUGAAAGGCCAAUCAAACCGGGAGAUAGCUGGUUCUCCCCGAAAGCUAUUUAGGUAGCGCCUCGUGAAUUCAUCUCCGGGGGUAGAGCACUGUUUCGGCUAGGGGGCCAUCCCGGCUUACCAACCCGAUGCAAACUGCGAAUACCGGAGAAUGUUAUCACGGGAGACACACGGCGGGUGCUAACGUCCGUCGUGAAGAGGGAAACAACCCAGACCGCCAGCUAAGGUCCCAAAGUCAUGGUUAAGUGGGAAACGAUGUGGGAAGGCCCAGACAGCCAGGAUGUUGGCUUAGAAGCAGCCAUCAUUUAAAGAAAGCGUAAUAGCUCACUGGUCGAGUCGGCCUGCGCGGAAGAUGUAACGGGGCUAAACCAUGCACCGAAGCUGCGGCAGCGACGCUUAUGCGUUGUUGGGUAGGGGAGCG
rnacentral:rRNA from 1 species